rnacentral:misc_RNA from 1 species
UAUUUAUUUUUUAAACAGAAAUUAUUAUGUUCGAAAAAUAUAUUUAGGUUUAUAAAUUGGAAGAAAAUUGAACAAUAAUUUGCACACUAUCAAUGUCGCUGAGACACUGAUAGCGUGGAGCGCAAAUGGUUGAACACUACGGAUAUUAACCUUGAACUUCAGCAGCAAAUUGCUUUAUAAACACACAUGGCAUACUGAACCUUGAACUUCAUGGGAAAAUGAGUGGUCAAACAGGUACGGCGUAGUGGAGACUGAAACGGAAGAUUGAUGAAUUGAUUCAGUUUUUUAAAAUCAAAGACACUGCCAUUGUUGAAUACAAAGAGUUAAUGGCUACUGACAUUAACCCUGAACUUGCACAGUGAAUUAUUCGAUAUACAGCUAGAAAAAUUCACCGAAUGUCCAGCUGGAUAAAUU